GGCCAGCCCACUGCUCAGCGACCCCAGGUCCGACCAGCGGCGGUGGGGCGGGAGGGGCCAAGUGAGCGCAGGCCCCCGCGCAUGCCCAGUGGGCGCCUCUGCGACGCCGGUUUGUCCCGGCCCGGCCUUGGUGAGCUGCCUGCGCGCUCCACAGACUGCAUCCCCCGUGGCCUAUUUCCUCAACUUUUACACGAAACCUGCCAGUCUCUGCAUCCUACUGUGGAAAUCUAAGAAUGUGGACUGCAAAGGUAUGAAUCAUUUUAAGCCACCAGUCUAUUCAUUUUGUGUGUGUGGGUGAGCACCAUGUCUAACAUCCCGUGAACACUUGGACUUUAAGGAGCUCUUACAGUGAGUUCCCUUAUAAAUUGACUGACUGACCAGAGCACCUGGAGGUGGAGAGCAAGAGGCCAGAGCGGAGCCGCAGCCUGAAAAGGAGCGAAAGGAAAGAAAAGCCAAGGAAGAGGGGGCUGCGGGGAGGCCAGAGAAAACGAGGACAACGAGAAAGGUCGCGACGUCUCCACACCAAACGAGGAGGGGGCUUUGAGUAGGAAGACGCUGCGGAGGGCAGCCAAGCCUGCAGAAGGAUGCCGUGGGCUAUGACUGGAAACCGCCCGGAGGAGUUGGCACCACCUGGGCACUGGAGCCCCGAAGUCUGGAUGCCUGUCACUCACGAAAGUCCCAUCUCACCCCGAAAGGACCACCACUAUGUGACUGAGGCACUGCCACGUGUUCCCACACGGCCGAUUAUGUUUUUAUGCUUCAGUCCCACCCACCACGGGCACAAGGAAGCAAACCGCUGUCAUCAUGAUCCCUUUUCCGCAACUGAGCUCUGAUGCUGGUUCAGCUGGGAGCACGUUCAUCUCAGCACUUCCCACCUUCCCCCAUACCCACCAGUUUUCAUCAUGGAACUUCAGUCUCCCUCCUGAAUGUCAAAACUCAUAUUAUACAUGUACCUUCAUUUGUGAUACUUGCCGUAUCUGAGAGCUGAGGGACCGAAGGUUGCAAAACUAAACCACCCUGGCCAGGUGGGCAGACCCCAGUUUCCCUGACUGUGCAAUGAGGGGCUUGACCGGGUCAGGAGGAGAACAGCGGUCAGCUGUCUUCAGGGACUGGCAAGUGACUAAGCCCAGGAAGCCAGGUGUGAGACAGGGGACUCUCAGGGGCCUGGAGCCCAGCAUGGAUGUCACACCCAAAGGCAUCCAGAUGAUCUUACAAACGCUGAACCACUGGGCUGUCAGCAGUCGUCCCCCUCAUUUCUGACUUUCUGUCAACAUAUCUUCACAGUUUACAAUGAGCAAAGGUAAAUGCAGAGCUCGUCCGCCCCACGAGGGGUAUUCACAUCUGCUGAAAGGUCCCCUGUAUGGAGCUGAGGGUGGGAAUCUCCACACUCUGCGCUCUGAGAGUCAGACCUCAGUCGGGAGUGUUCAUGAGCCAGAAGGAACCCACACAUCUGAGUGACUCCUCCUCCUUCCUGUGUCCUGUCCUUGGGAAGGCCGAGCCCAGAGCGACCGCCAGGGGCUGGGCGUCCACCCCAGCCAGCCCAUGGGCAGGGCCCCUGCCUGUCCCAGUCCCAGUCCCACCUACACUGCUAAGAUUAAGGACGUCUGUCCACAACCAAAAUCACAGUCCAGGAGAAGAUGCAGUACUGUCGUGGAUGAGUGAGGCCUCUUGGUGACUGCCAGUGAGAAUUAAUGCCAGAAAGACGCAUCUAUCCCAGCUCUCAUGAUCUGCUACCAGGGAUCUGAAAUGUACUUACUGCAUAAAACAGAAAGGUCGGCUCACACCUCCCACGGUAUUUUUCGAGGACAUCGAGACAGUCCGCUUCUGCCUAAAGAAAACGAGCUGUCAGCGGGGGCAGGAGGGUGAACAACCAUGAAGGACAACACCCGUGUGCCCGCGCGCGCGCGCGCGCGCACACACACACACACACACACACACAGUGAUGGCCCUCCCCAGGCGGAGCCCUGGCUCACUCUCAUGCUGCUCCUUCUAAUGUCUUUUCAUCAGAAUCUUAACAACUGUCCUGUCAACAUAUUGGUAAAACUGUUUGCCAGUGUACUUUUUUGAAGAAUAAACUCAGGAAGAAAUGACAGCUUUGCCUGCUCCAGAUGGAAGGAGUCCCCCCACACCCUGUUAACAUCCCACAUCUGCCCUGAGUGGCAGCAACAGAGGUGAGGUCCUGCAGCUCUGCCUCCAAGUCUGACAAGGCCCUUCUGCCCAUGGACGAGGUUCCCUAUCCAGGCACCCCCUCCACACGCUCCAAGAAAGCCUCAAAACCACGUCUCCAGAGAGUGCCAGCCCUGGAAGCCCAGCUCUUGGAGAAUCAGCGUGAGGUCCACUCCUGCGUCUCCAAUCUGCACCUCAGACCCGUGCAGCACAUCCAGGGUCUCAUACACGUUUCUCUGGAAUCCAUUCCUGUUUCCAUGCAUUGACCCAAGUUAACAUUUGCUAGAAGUUCCCCUUGAGGGAGCAGAGGAUGGAAAUCAUAAACCCUGUGCUCUGACAGUGAAACUUCAGGGCUUCCAGUGUGCAUGAGCCAGGAAGGGGCACUUGCCUGAGAGUGGCGGGACCCCCCCCCCGCCCCCCGCCAGCCACAGUAUCAGGAGGCAGCCCCACCCACGUGACUGCCAGCCAGGCGGGGUUGGGGGAGUCCUCCUCUCUGGAGACACUGAUAUCAGCCAAAAAUCCACAACAGAUGCCUUUUCACUAAUCUGAAAAGGGCCCCUCAAACUUCCUGCUCCUGUUUUUCAAAUUUUCCAUGUUUUCACAAUGUUGUGCGACAUUCUGCCGAGAGAGGAUCUUACUAAUGCAAAAUGCAGGAGGUCCAGGCCCGCUUCCAUCCUCAUCUUCUGGAAUAGGCUCGCCACGGGUUUGCAGGGGCCACACCAGCCUUGAUAGACGUCGACAACUGUGUGGAACCCAGAGGCAGGGGCGUUCAGUGGGCACCGGCGCCCAGCAUGUCGGGCAGAACUGACGCCUGCACGUUCUAACCCUUCCGGUGCACAUCUGUUUGCAGGGACAUUUAAUGGUUGAAGGGAUUUAUUAUCCCAGCAGAGAAUGAGUGAGCACGGAAACACAGCUUUCUCUCAGUCUUCUGAUCUCGGUGUUCCGAAUCCUAAACACAACCAGGUGGAACGGUGCAAUGUUCAAGUUCGAGAACACUAUCACCUACUGCUGGCAAACAAAAGAUUGUUUUUAUACCGCACUUUCUGCUCCACACCAUCCUCCUUGACCUCCAACUCCAAUCAAGUGCUGGAAGCAAGCUCCCCUUUGAGGCUUACCUGCAGGGCAAUUUCCUUCUUCUUGCUGCCCAUGGCUCUGCAAAGAAGACAGAAGCUCUGUUACUGCGGGCUCUGGCCGCAGCCUCCCAACAAAACGUUACGCUGAUCAGCAAGCCAAGAAGAGCCUUUUUCGGACAAAGCUCCCGCGCCUUUAAGUGAAUUCUAAGUGACAGCAAAUAAACGCAGUGAUGCAAAAUGAACACCCCAUGGGGGAAGCGGAGCUUGCAGCCCGCGGGCUCAGGGUUUUUGGCGGAUUUGCGGAGCCCCUUCCACUCCCCGGGGCCGGCCAAGGGGCGCGCGCACAGGCCCGAGUUGGGGCUCCAGCCGUGCAGCCCAUCAAGCAUGGGAGGGCCAGUCGAGGAAUUCGGGCAGGAAAAGGCCACAGAACCCUGCUACCCCUACUGUUCCG